CAGAGCAGCAGUAGAAAUGGCGUAGCCCCGGCCGCCGCAGCACGCCCUCCGGGACCCCUGCCAGCUGCAGCCGGGUGCCACUGGCCAGUGUGGCAGGCGCACCAGCCCGCAGGUCUGCGGCCUCCAGCCAGCGGCAAGAGCCCACAGAGCCCACGCCUAACCCCAUGGGGCAACAUACCUGUGAUGCUGGGGCCUUCCGGGCGGCUGCUGAGCCUCACCAGCUGCUUCAUCGUGUCCUUGGAGACCUUCAGGUACUGGUCACAGUUACAGGCCUGGGGACAGAGGGGGUGCUGAGGCCGGGUGAGGCUCUGCCCACCUCCCACCUCCCACCCCCAGCCUCAGGCUCCUUGCAGCUCUGGGUCUGGCUAAGGGGUUUCACGGAGACAAAAGCACACAUCCCUUCCUCUCCUUGCAGGACAGGGCACACCUCCUCCUGGGAGCCCUCCAGCACGACACUGGAUCCUAGUGGGCCCUAGGCAGCCUCUUCUGGCUCACGAGACCCUGUGGGCCUCUGUCAUCACCUGGGCUGUCCGCCCCAAUCGCAGAGCCUCGAGGGCACAACCAGGCCUGGGCAUCCCUGGGCUAGCUCAGCAUCAAAGGGUCAGGGAAGGACCAGCACCUAGCGGCUCCCUGUGUCUCCUGUCCUUGUCCCCUGCAAGGUCCACCUGCCUCACACAAGGCCAAGGCCCUGCUCUUUGGGGCCCAUGGACCAGCACCCUUCCUGACGCCAAAGGGGGAGACAUUGCCUUUCAUUAUGAAGAAAGGGGGCUUCCGAGGGGCUGAGUAACUGGCUUACAGGGCCCUCGGCUAGCGAGGACCCCACACCAGGGUCCUCACGCUGACCCUUAGGAGAGGGGGUAUGUGCAGGUGGUGUCCGGGCCAUGCUCACUCUCCCUUGGGGGACACACAAAUCCGAGCCCCGGGAUGCCAGUGGGCCUGGACAGACCGCAGUGGGGGUCCCAGGGAAGGCCCUGGACAGGGGCUGGGUGUAUGGUCCUGAGAGUCCAGCCUGGUCUCUGUGUACCCCCAUUCAGUCUGGGAGUCUGAGGGCAGGGAGGGCCUCCGGCCCCAGAGCCUGGCUGGGCGGGCAGGGCCAGGUGAGUCGGGGGCUGGAGGGGCUGGGAAGGCUCGUGGCUUCCUAGUCCCAGGAGUCCACGUGCGUGCCCGGUCCCCACAGCUCUUACAGCUGCUUGGAGCCAACACCCACUUGCCGUGCUGUCCCAACUCAGGGCACUCUGCCCGCCUGGGGACUGUCUCGGCCAGAGACCUGAGCCCACGAGGGGGAGGUUGCCUCCCAGGGGCUGGGCUGCCAGCAGUGACUGGUCAUCGGGACUGCUGGGGCCCACAGACCGGGAGUUAGGCAGACUUGACCUUUCGGUCCACCCUCUGCAGCCCCUUGCCCCUCCCUGGGGCCUGGGGAGGGCGGGAGAGGCCUGCUCUGGCCACUUCUCCAGGAGGCUCUGUUUUCUGGGCUUCUUGGGGGUGUGACGAGAGGCUACAGCAGGCACUUGGGACACCUGCCCGUUCCACUGAGGCUAAGACUUGGCAGGGGGGAGCUGGGGGGCUUUGAGGGGCCAUGCCCAAGGGCGGGGCCUCCUCUCAGGUCUGAGCCCAGGAUUCGCAGUCACACUCACCCAAGGAGUGGUCGUGGCCAGCAGAACCAAGAGCUGUGCAACAGGCAAGGCCACAGCAACUGUCCUGAAGUCUGCGUCCCUGGAAACGUCUGUGUUCCCACCUGCCCUGGGUGCAGGGCCACCCACACACACACAAUCCCGGUCAGCACGCCUGCAGGUGUCUGCUGUGCACAACCAGCGGACAGCUGGCACACAGGUGUAGAGUGCAGAGGGGCACGCCCCAGCCAGGGCCACAGAACGGGCUGGGCAGGGCCAGCAGGCAGCUCGGAGGGGCCCUUGUACACGUUCCUCUCCAGAGGCGACCAGCCCUCCCUGGGCCCAGGACAGCACAGCCCUGUUGGUUGCUUGUAAACACCCUUGGGCCCCCAUCAGCCUUGAGCCCCAGGCCUCAGCAAAUGGGGGGUGGGUGUGAGGGAGAGAGGAGGGUGGGAUAGAAGCCAUACUUGGGACUCACCCGGGCACGGGGUAUGAGAGAGAACACGUGUUCCUAAGGGUGCAGGGCCUGCCUAGGCUGGGAGCCCAGAGAAGGGACCCCCGCCCUAAGAAGGACGUGAGUGGGGCCUCCUGCCCAGCCAGCAGCCAGGUCCAUGACCUGAGCUCCGCACCACAGGCUGGCUGCCUGGGGAGUUCACACCACCCUGCUUCCCCAGCUCGGUAGGCACUAGGCACUGCUGAGAGUUUUAGGCUCCAGCUGGGAAGUGGGCCCAGGCCACUUGGGUGCCCUCCUUCUGAGCAAGGGGCAGGCUUGUAGAAACCUCACUCCUGCCUGACGGUAAGUGCAGUCCAGGCUCCAAGCGGGGGCCCUGCCAGACCCCUGCAGCCCCCACCCCCAGUGGGGGAGGGGGGAGUCAUUCUGGAGCCCAGGCCCUGGAAGGCCAAGUUUGGGGAUUUCUGACCCACAGGCAGGGCGGGUGGGGGCUGGGCUCAGAAGCUGUGGCAUGUUCUAGAGUAAUGGGCUAUUUCUUGCUCAUUUAGAGCAAAUUGGAACAAGAGCAAAGCAUAAAAAAGCAGAAGAAAAGAAACAGCACUUCGUCCCACCGCCUGGUGGGAAAAGCCAACGCGGCACUGAGAAUGGUUUCCGGCACCUUCCUGAGCACAUCUACACACGGCCAGCGUCUCGGAUGCUCCGGUCAGGGUAGUGGGAGCCCUGGAGGGUCUCAACUUCAGGACACCAGCAUCCCUGUUCCCAGGGUGCUUUUCUGCCCAUUUGGUCUCUGCCAAGUGCCACCUCCCCCUACAGUCCACACUUGCUGUCCUGAGGCCUCCCCAGGCUGGCUCAUCCACCGUGACCGCCCCCAGGGCCAGCCUAACAAAUGGCGCCGGGUGCAGGGCCAGAGGGCUGGGAUGAAAGGCCACUGGCCUGACACCUUGCCCGGACGGGGCGGGAACAAAGCCCCAGAGGAAGCGGUGAGGCCUGGGUCUGCUCCACACCUCACUCUCCCACACCAUCCAGGCAGCACCUCGUGGGGCCCUGAGCCAUCUGCCCCCAAAGGUGAUGUGGCCCUGGAGCGGAGCACGACUGCUGGGGCCGGGGCCCUCCUCCAAGACAAGCACAUCAGCCAGCUUUGCCCAUGAGGACCCUGUUGGCCCCCGGCACGGGGUGUUGUCUGAUUGUCCAGAGGAGACGGGACAAGGGGCCAGGAGGACGGAGCCCCCUCCCUGCAGCUGGCCCACAGGGCAUCUGGGAGAUGUGAGCCCAUCCUGCUGGCCUGGGGCGAACGCUGGACAGAAGGGCCAGGACCCAGGCCCCGCAAGGAGCGCGUGGCUGGGGCUGAUGCACAGGCCUGCAUGGGAAGGUUUUCAAACCCAACCCUGGUGCUCUUCUGUCUGUGGAGCAGGCCCUCCUGCCGGUGGCCUCCAACCUGGAUGUCUGUGACCCGGGACAGCAGCCCUACAGGGGCCGUGCUCCAGCGCCAGCCCUGUCCCCAGGCCCGGGAAGGCCAGUUCCCAUGGGCCCAUCCCUUUGUAGGCUCAGGACAGUGUCUCCACGGACACAGCAGGGCCUGGGCACAGUCAGCAUUGUGUGGGUUCCCUAGGGGGUCAGGAGCCACUGGCACUGGGGCGUGUGGGGUGCAGGAGUCCCCGCGGGGCUAUGACUGGGCACGUGUGUGAAGCUGGCGCCCUGCAGGUGUCUCUCUCAUGAGCAUUCCGGCAUGAAGGGCGCAAGAGCACUGAGGGUGUGUGUGCACGUGAGCAGCACAGAGGCAUGAGCAGGAGUGAGUGUGGCUGGGUGUUCCAAGGUGUGGAUGAGGGACCUGUGUGACGGGGCGUGUCAGGGCGAGUCACUUCACAUGUCCCCUGACCCUGGAAGUGUGUCUGUGUAUGAGCAGUCUGUAGACAGGGGCUUGUGUGCACCUCGCCAGGGAGUGCAGGAGGGGUGCUCCCGGGGCCUCUAUUUUCAGUGGCAGGAGACCUGAACAUCCACCUCCCCCGGCAGGUGUGGAGGGGACAAUGGCAUCUGGGACUUUCCCGGCUGGCGACCGGCUCUUGGGGCACAGGCUCAGGCUGAUGCCAUCUUGUGCAGCCUUCUGAGGCCAGCACCCCGCGACUGGGGCCUUGGCCUCAGAGGCAGACGUGUGGCUGGCGCCUGGAGCCAGACACCCUCCCCGCCAGCCUCCUGCCGGGCCCACCUCCUGCUACAAGGACGGGAGGGCCUGCUGGACUCCCUGGGAGUGGACCCCCCAGCUCCAGAGCUGCCCUCAUGCCUGCAGUGGGUGAGGGCGGGCUGACAACUCACAGUGAGGGCCCCAGUAGCCACGGCUGGGGGCGGAUACCCCUGAACCUGCAGCAGCACAUGGCUGGUCUCUCUGACGGCGAGGGAGGGGGGAAAAGGGUGGUGGGUGGAAUGGGCAGAGGGGCACAGCAUGCGUGACAGCCAGAGCCUGCCCAAGCAGGAAGCCCUGCCCCGCCUAGGUGUACCCUGGCCAGGGAGACUCGGGAGGGUCACAGCCCUUCCCCCAGGCCCCUCUGGGGCUUGCAGGCCGGAGCCCUGGGCAGUGGCCACACAUAGGACGGGCGGGUGGGCCUCCUACUUGGCAUCCACUCCCCACCCUGGGUGCCCGGGCUUCUGAAAAGCUCCUCCUCCAGCUGCACCAGCCAUAGCCCAGGGCCCACUGGGGACCCCCGUGCGGACCCCCUCGUGGGGGCAGUGAGGCCGACUCCAGCCCAGGCUAUCUGAAGCUGGGUGGAAUGGACCCCCUUGUUCCAGCUCACUUGGGUGGGCCAGGGCUGACCUUCAUGGAGGCAAGCCAAGGUGAGCCAGGGGGCCCAGACUGGUAGCCAAGUCCUGCCCUGCUUCCUCAACCCUGAUAGGACACAGUCACAGGCCCCCUCAGGCAGCCAGCGAGAGUUUGGGCCCUGAAUGCGAAUUUCAGAUCAAGUGUGGGAUGGGAUUACAGUUCUAUGUGAGAAGGUAUUCACUAUUUUCUGCGGGGUCUGUAUUUGUACUUCGUAAAACCAGUGACCUAGUCUCUGCAGGGUAUUAGGAGGAACCGAGGCCCCAGAACCUGCUCCCAGUCAGGGAGACCCUAAUGAGGAGUGGGUGCUGUUGUCCCCACGCACAAGGCAGGGUUGGCCAGGGCCCCCUGGGUCGCUCCACGAGGUGUGGGGGGCCAGAGAGCACCUGCCCUAGGUUAAAUCCAAGACAAUCUGGCCUCAGGCCCCGUGUGUGGGGUGCUGUCUGCCUCCCUCUGGCGACCUCAGCAACCCCUAGGCGGCACCCCCUCCAGUAACCCCCCCGCCAGGCGCACCCCCCCCCCCCAUCCUGGGGCUC